UACAGAGGUCUCAGCGUUGUUCGGAUUCAUUGGCGUAAAGGGCGCGUAGGCGGCACGGCAAGUCAGGAGUGAAAGCCCGGGGCUCAACCCCGGAAUGUCUUUUGAAACUGCCGAGCUAGAGUGCGGAAGAGGCAACUGGAAUUCCCAGUGUAGCGGUGAAAUGCGUAGAUAUUGGGAAGAACACCUGAGGCGAAGGCGGGUUGCUGGGCCGACACUGACGCUGAUGCGCGAAAGCCAGGGGAGCGAACGGG
rnacentral:rRNA from 1 species